rnacentral:rRNA from 1 species
UACGGAGGAUCCGAGCGUUAUCCGGAUUUAUUGGGUUUAAAGGGUGCGUAGGCGGCCCAUUAAGUCAGGGGUGAAAGACGGUAGCUUAACUAUCGCAGUGCCUUUGAUACUGAUGGGCUUGAAUGUAGUUGAGGUAGGCGGAAUGUGACAAGUAGCGGUGAAAUGCAUAGAUAUGUCACAGAACACCAAUUGCGAAGGCAGCUUACUAAAGUAUGAUUGACGCUGAGGCACGAAAGCGUGGGGAUCAAACAGG